rnacentral:rRNA from 1 species
UACGAAGGGGGCUAGCGUUGCUCGGAAUCACUGGGCGUAAAGCGCACGUAGGCGGACUCUUAAGUCGGGGGUGAAAGCCCAGGGCUCAACCCUGGAACUGCCUUCGAUGCUGGGAGUCUUGAGUGUGGAAGAGGUUGGUGGAACUGCGAGUGUAGAGGUGAAAUUCGUAGAUAUUCGCAAGAACACCAGUGGCGAAGGCGGCCAACUGGUCCACUACUGACGCUGAGGUGCGAAAGCGUGGGGAGCAAACAGG